rnacentral:misc_RNA from 1 species
GUAGGUGAACCUGCGGAAGGAUCAUUAUUGAAUGAACUUGGCUCGUUGUUGCUGGUCCUUUCGGGGGCAUGUGCACACUUGUCAUCUUUAUAUUUCCACCUGUGCACAUUUUGUAGGUCCAAAAAAUUUUUCCCGAGACACUCGUUUGGGGGACUGCCGUUCGUUAAUGUCGGCUUCCCCUGUUGGCCUGUAUAGGUCAAAAUUUUUUUCCGAGACACUCGUUUGGGGCACUGCCGUCCGUUAGGUCGGCUUGCCUUGGAUUUAUUGGCCUAUGUUUUCAUAUACACCAUAAUGUAAUAGAAUGUUAUUAAUGGGCUUUGCCUAUAAACUAUAUACAACUUUCAGCAACGGAUCUCUUGGCUCUC